rnacentral:rRNA from 1 species
UACGGAGGGUGCAAGCGUUGCUCGGAAUUACUGGGCGUAAAGCGCACGUAGGCGGCUUUGCAAGUCAGAGGUGAAAGCCCGGGGCUCAACCCCGGAAUUGCCUUUGAGACUGCAUCGCUAGAAUUGUGGAGAGGUAAGUGGAAUUCCGAGUGUAGAGGUGAAAUUCGUAGAUAUUCGGAAGAACACCAGUGGCGAAGGCGACUUUCUGGCCUAUAACUGACGCUGAGGCGCGAAAGCGUGGGGAGCAAACAGG